rnacentral:rRNA from 1 species
GGUGAACGCUGGCGGCGUGCCUAAUACAUGCAAGUCGAGCGAACGGACGAGAAGCUUGCUUCUCUGAUGUUAGCGGCGGACGGGUGAGUAACACGUGGAUAACCUACCUAUAAGACUGGGAUAACUUCGGGAAACCGGAGCUAAUACCGGAUGAUAUUUUGAACCGCAUGGUGCAAAAGUGAAAGACGGUCUUGCUGUCACUUAUAGAUGGAUCCGCGCUGCAUUAGCUAGUUGGUAAGGUAACGGCUUACCAAGGCAACGAUGCAUAGCCGACCUGAGAGGGUGAUCGGCCACACUGGAACUGAGACACGGUCCAGACUCCUACGGGAGGCAGCAGUAGGGAAUCUUCCGCAAUGGGCGAAAGCCUGACGGAGCAACGCCGCGUGAGUGAUGAAGGUCUUCGGAUCGUAAAACUCUGUUAUUAGGGAAGAACAUAUGUGUAAGUAACUGUGCACAUCUUGACGGUACCUAAUCAGAAAGCCACGGCUAACUACGUG